CCUGCUCUCUGCCGGCUCCCUUUGGAUCGCUGUUUGGACUACCUUAGUUUUUGGACUCUGUAUUCAGCCACUUACCUGUAAGUGUGCUUGCUUUUGGUUUGUUCAUUAAAACCCUUUGUACUGUACCUCCUCCAGCCUUGCGUCCUGCGUUUGGGUCCUCCAACCUGCCUCACCCACACCAAACCGUGACACCGACACACGUGGGCAGUUUCUUUGCAUUUUUAUGUUUUGCAUGCAUUAUGGGUUGGCAUCCUUCACUAUGUCUGCAACAUUCACACCUGGACUAUGGGAAGUUGCAAACGCAGGCACCUUGAAUCGGAUCAAAUGCAGGGAAAGAUGUGGAUCAAGAGAGACUCCCAGUGCCACAAAGCUUUAGUGGAUAUAGUUCUCGAUAAGAGGUGGCAGAAAGAUGUUCACAACUAUCUGCGAUUCAGAUCGACUGCAGACCUAGAGUCAUUCCAGAAUCCUGAUGUAUGCCAGCAAGCGCUAUGCUUUCAGCCCCCCAGUUUAUGAGGCAAGACUUCUGCUUGCUGCUUUGGACUACAAUUUCCACCGGAAUCGACCAACAAUGAGAACGUUGGACGGCAAAGAUGUACGUUUUACACUUGUAUAAUAUUCCCAUUCAUAGUACAAUAUUCAGGCCAUGUUUUAUAUGCAAUUGAUUGUCUUUACACAAGGUUUUCUUAUUCUACUUACAAACUGAUAUUAAAUGGUUAUAAUGUCAGUUUCAAAAGAUUGUAUAAGAACGGUAGAUACAGCGUACAUGUCUUGAAAUCUGAAAAAACCUACGAUACAUUUCCGAGUUGCAAAGGAUUUUGGAGUGUGGAUGCCUAGGAGGAGCCUUCUCCCACAUGACCCCAGACAGCUUGGUUUGGUGCCCCCCAUACCUGCACCAGCCACAGCAGACUUGUUGCAGAGAAAAGUCAGAAGAGGUCUAGGACCGUUAUUCCAACCAGCAUCUGAUGUGGAAGGAUCCCCACAUCAGAUGAAAAUGGAUCACAUUGCAUGUGUCCUGGUACCUGUCAGGCAGGAUCACGAGGGAAAGAACUUCAGUUCACUGACCGUCAUAGCUUUUACUCCUCCAAAAAGAGAAAUUAACAUUAAAUUCUGUUCCUACCCUC